CGCGCACCUUUCUCUCACGCAAAAAACCUAAAGUCGCACGACCUCUCUCUCACGCGAACUCCUCCGCCGCACGCGAACUCCUCCGCCGAAGCCCUCUCAUGCGAUCUCCUCCACCGAAGCCCUCUCACACGAACUCCUCCACCGAAGCCCUCUCACGCGAACUCCUCCGGCGAAGCCCUCUCCACCGAAGCCCUAAACCCUAAGUCCUCUCCGCCAAAGCCCUCCACUGACUUGAACAUCUUCGUCGAGAUCUUUCUCAGGCUUCCCUUUCAUAGCGGGGAGCUUUCUCCAGCCUGGGCUCUCUCUCCGGCCACCUAGCUUUGGCUAGCGGUGCCUGCUUAGGCUAGGCUUUCAGAUGCACUUGCUCGUUAGGCAUGCCUCUUUCGGGACUGGUAAGUAGUUCGGGUAGAAUGCCUCUCUCGGGACUGGUAAGCUGGAAGAAGGUGCUCUGGCGCCCCUGCUCUGGUGGACCUCUGCCGCUCGUGAGUCAGACUUCUCUCUACGAAUGAAGACAAGGAGGGGUAUAGGUGGUCCAGACCUCUGCAGCAAGAACUCAGAUGUGAGCUAGGGCGGACAGUUCAGAAGAGACUAGCGCUGCUGAGUCUUUCUCUUCUGAUUCUUCUGAUUGAUUCUGGUCCUAUCAAGGAGCUUGAAGAUCAUAUUACUAUAGCCCAGCUUGAAGACCAGUCGGAGGCUAGGAGGAGGGGUACCGUGCUUUGACUAAGAUGCCCGGCCCAGAGGGAGCUCUCCCCCAGGGAAAGCAUUGCAUGUGAUCAAGCAGCAGUGGAAGACUAUAGAUAGGGCUAGCAGACUGAGGGAAGCCCUUAGCUACUAGUAGCAUGUUGAACGGAUGUGGGACUGGUUUAGGACUCAUUUCCCUGGCUUGCCUCCCUCUAUCGUUGGAGGCCCACCCAAUCUUCCCUGGCAUGAUGAGGGGGAGCAGUCCCUAGGCCUAUGAUCCGGAAUUUUUUGUGUAUUAUGUUGUGAUCCUUCUCGUCAGGAUCUUUCUCACCUAGCCUCCUAAACUCCAAGAAAAACAAAUAAGAGCAAACAAAGGCAGGUCAGUCACACGAUAACACCUUCAUCGUUUUUUCCCUAAUUCCAACCAGUACUCUAAACAAUGUUCAAUCAGAUUUUUUUUUUCUUUUCAAGUUUUCUUCUGUUAGACAUUAAUUAAUUACAUCGCUAACGGUUUAGUUCAUUGUUUACAAAUUGCAUCUGAUUUGUCCCUGAUCUAUUCUAUGCUGCUGACUUUUUGAUGAGACUGAUUAAUUUUUAUUGCAUCGGAUUUGCAAAUCACUUCCAUUUCAAUGUUCAUAUAUUGAGACAUGCAGGAAGAAAGGGAUUAUAUUUGUGGCCAUUGAUCAGAGCCGGUCUCUUCUGGAUCAAGGUCCUUUUGACAUUGUUCUUCACAAGUUCACUGGAAAAGAGUGGCAACAUGUCCUGGAGGUGCUUUGCUAGCCAAGAUGGAAGUCUUUUGUUUAAACCAAUAAUCUAGAUUGUUUUUUUUUAAUCACAACUACUAGCACCAUUUUUUGUUUAUGCAUAUGCACUUCUCUGUCCUAUGCGUAAAAUGUCUUUGAUGCCAGUAGUGACCAACAAAUCUGUUCAUUGCAGCUCAUGAUAUUUGUAGAUUAUGCUGGAGGAUUUCUUCCAACUGUCAAUCAUAGUCCUUGGAAUGGCAUAUCACUUGCUGAUUUUGUCAUGCCAUUAUUCUUGUUUAUAGUUGGAGUUGCACUUUCCCUUACAUAUAAGUUGCUUCAAAAAUAAAGCAUGGUUAAAGAUCCCCAGUAGAUGAUGCAGUGCUCAUUCCUUGCAUAAACAAAUCCAAACACCAAGCAAGGUAUAUACAUCAUCGUCAUCCUCCUCCAUAUGAGUUUCAUUCCAUGGCACACCCAUCGCUCUCUCCAACUAACACGACCAGUGUAAAGAAGCCCAAGUUGGAACACAAGUUCUCGAGGAUAGCCGAUGGCUUUACCUCCUUACAGCAGGUAACAGAGGAGCUGACAAAAUCUGGGCUUGAAUCAUCAAAUCUCAUUGUAGGAAUUGACUUCACAAAAAGCAAUGAGUGGACAGGUAAGAACUCAUUCCAUGGCAGCAGCUUGCACCACGUUGGAACUACUAAAAAUCCUUAUGAACAAGCAAUUUCAAUUAUUGGACGAACCUUGUCAUCAUUUGACCAAGAUAACUUAAUCCCAUGCUUUGGUUUCGGAGAUGCAUCUACCCAUGACAAAGAUGUAUUUAGCUUCUAUAUGGAGCUAGAUUUGCAAAAGCCAUAUCCAACUCGAGGAAGUGACUUAUUGACAUGGGAGAGAACUUAUUGGUAACCAAGGACUUUGUGAAGAUAGCAAAUUUUGGCCUUGCUCGUGAAGUUCAUUCGAAACCACCAUUCACAGAAUAGGUUUCAACACGCUGUUUACAAAUCUCAAGUACUCCAGAGUUGAAAUUGAUGAAAUGCAGUUCGAGUGGGCUGAA